rnacentral:rRNA from 1 species
CGUAAAGCGCGCGUAGGUGGUCGUUCACGCCGGGUGUGAAAGCCCUGGGCUCAACCUGGGAAUGGCAUCCGGAACGGGGCGACUAGAGUGCAGGAGAGGAAGGUAGAAUUCCCGGUGUAGCGGUGAAAUGCGUAGAGAUCGGGAGGAAUACCGGUGGCGAAGGCGGCCUUCUGGCCUGACACUGACACUGAGGUGCGAAAGCGUGGGUAGCAAACAGGAUUAGAUACCCUGGUAGUCCACGCCGUAAACGAUGUCGACUAGCCGUUGGGAGCCUUGAGUUCUUAGUGGCGCAGUUAACGCGAUAAGUCGACCGCCUGGGGAGUACGGCCGCAAGGUUAAAACUCAAAUGAAUUGACGGGGGCCCGCACAAGCGGUGGAGCAUGUGGUUUAAUUCGAUGCAACGCGAAGAACCUUACCUACCCUUGACAUCCUGCGAACCCGAGAGAGAUCUCGGGGUGCCUUCGGGAGCGCAGAGACAGGUGCUGCAUGGCUGUCGUCAGCUCGUGUUGUGAAAUGUUGGGUUAAGUCCCGUAACGAGCGCAACCCCUAUCCUUAUUUGCCAGCGAUUCGGUCGGGAACUCUAAGGAGACUGCCGGUGACAAACCGGAGGAAGGUGGGGACGACGUCAAGUCAUCAUGGCCCUUACGGGUAGGGCUACACACGUGCUACAAUGGCCGGUACAAAGGGCAGCAAGAGCGCGAGCUGGAGCGAAUCCCAUAAAGCCGGCCUCAGUCCGGAUCGGAGUCUGCAACUCGACUCCGUGAAGUCGGAAUCGCUA